UCAGUCCUCCGUCGCAACCUCAGGCAACAAUCAAACCCAUUCCACCCCUUAUCCAAUUGAUGACCUUGCAGUUCCAACCCCGUAUCCAGAUCUCCCCACCACUUCUCUUUAUUUAAUAAACUUUAUUAUUGUGA